AGUGUAUCAUCCUGAAAUGCAACAUGAUUAUAAGUGAUUGAACAUUAAAAAAAUAGUUUAAUGGCAUAAAAUGCAUUAUGUAAUAUGUAUGUUAUUAUACUGACAUGAGGAGUUGGGGUCUGAUCAAAAACUGUCCCACUGUCAUUGUGUUCCAUUUCCUCUGUUGCCAUUUCACCUCUCUACACAAAGGUAUAUGAUUAGUAUAAUUAUGUAGUAUGUAUCGUAAAAUGGAAUUAUAACAUGAGACAUGAACUGCUAACAAACAUUUUUUUGCGAUGUCAUGUCAAAUUUCGGCAAGCGGGUGUGAAAGUCGCCUAGAGGGGGGGUGAAUAGGGCGAAACUGAAAUUCUCAAGAAUAAUCACAACUACAAGCCGGGUUAGCGUUAGAAAUAUAAUAGAGUCCGUGAGAGAGGGUGCAAAACAAAUCGCAAGCGAAUAAUGACGUGAGACACGCGGAUUUGUUUUACCGAGGUUCGGUUCUUUUAAACCUACUCCCCGUUGAGGAGGCCACAAAGGCCGGGUCUCUUUCAACCCUUUCCCUCUCUCAAACGGUCCCUCGGACCGAGUGAGCUUUCUCUUCUCAAAUGCUUGGAACACAAAGUUCCCACAAGGAUCACCACAAGAUUGGUGUCUCUUGCCUCAAUUACAAGUGAGUUUGAUCGCAAUGAAGAUUGAAAGAAAGCACGAUUGCAAAAACCAAGCGACAAGAGCGACAAAUAACACACGGAUCACUUUCUCUCUCAAGUCACUAAUCACUAAUGAUCUCUUUUCUCAAUUGUGAAACUUGGAGAGAUGGAGGCUUUGAAUGUGUCUUGGAAUGGAUUGCUAGCUCUUAUAUUGAAUGUUGAAGGUUGGAAUGCUUGGAUGCAAUGAAUGGUGGGGUGGUUGGGGUAUUUAUAGCCCCAACCACCAAACUUGACCGUUGGUGGAGCUGUCUGUCGUAUGGUGCACCGGACAGUCCGGUGCACACCGGACAUGUCCGGUGCGACAGCCACGUCACCAAAUAGCCGUUGGGUCGACCGUUGGGGUUCUGACUUCUGGGCCCGCCUUGAUGUCCGGUGGCGCACCGGACAUGUACUGUAGAGUGUCCGGUGCGCCUGCUUCGCGUGCCUGACGACUGUGCGCUUCUGGCGCGCAUUAAAUGCGCCUGCAGGUGACCGUUGGCGCGAAGUAGUCGUUGCCCCGAGGAUGCACCGGACAGUCCGGUGCACACCGGACAUGUCCGGUGAAUUAUAGCGAAGCAGCCUUCGCGAAUUCCCGAGACUGGCGAGUUCCUGAGCCGCGUCUCAAAUGAGCACCGGACACUGUCCGGUGUACACCGGACAGUCCGGUGAAUUUUAGCGCGCUGACUCUGGAUUUUCCCGAGGGCGACAAGUUUGAGUUGAAGUUCUCUGGUGCACCGGACACUGUCCGGUGGCACACCGGAUAGUCCGGUGCGCCAGACCAGAGGAGCCUUCGGUUGCUCUUUUGCUCUUUUGUUGAACCCACCACUUGGUCUUUUAUUGGCUAAGUGUGAACCUUUUGCACCUGUAUAACUUAUACACUAGAGCAAACUAGUUAGUCCAAUAUUUGUGUUGGGCAAUUCAACCACCAAAAUCAUUUAGGAGCUAGGUGUAAGCCUAAUUCCCUUUCAAUCUCCCCCUUUUUGGUGAUUGAUGCCAACACAAACCAAAGCAAAUAUAAAAGUGCAUAAUUGAACUAGUUUGCAUAAUAUAAGUGCAAAGGUUGCUUGGAAUUGAGCCAAUAUAAAUACUUACAUGAUGUGCAUGGAUUGCUUCUUUGUUUUUGACAUAUUGGACCACAUUUGCACCACAAGUUUUGUUUUGCAAAAUCUUUUGUAAAUUCUUUUCAAGAUUUUUUUUUGCAAGAUAGUCAAGGGUAAAUGAGUAAGAUUGAAAAGGAGCAUUUUCAAGAUUUGAAAUUUUCUCCCUUUGUUUCAAAUGCUUUUCCUUUGACUAAACAAAACUCCCCCUCAAAUAAAUUCUCCUCUUAGUGUUCAAGAGGGUUUUAAGACAUCAAUUUUGAAAAUAAUACUACUUGCUCCCCCUUUAGAACACAAAGAGAUACCAAUUUUGAAAUUUUCCAUCCAAUUGAAAAUCAUUAGGGUGGUGGUGCGGUCCUUUUGCUUUGGGCUCAUAUUUUCUCCCCCUUUGGCAUGAAUCGCCAAAAACGGAAUCAUUAGAGCCCUAUGAAGUACUUUCUCCUCUGUUGGUCAUAAAAUAGAUGAGUGAAGAUUAUACCAGCGUUGGAGAGUGAUGCGGAGCGACGGCGAAGGAUGAGUAGUAGAGUGGAGUGGAAGCCUUUGUCUUCGCCGAAGACUCCAAUUCCCUUUCAAUAUACCUAUGACUUGGUUUGAAAUACACUUGAAAACACAUUAGUCAUAGCAUAUAAAAGAGAUAUGAUCAAAGGUAUACUUAUGAGCUAUGUGUGCAAGUUUAGCAAAAGAAAUUCCUAGAAUCAAGAAUAUUAAGCUCAUGCCUAAGUCUGGUAAAAGAUUGUUCAUCAAGUGGCUUGGUAAAGAUAUCGGCUAAUUGAUCUUUAGUGUUAAUGUAUGAAAUCUCGAUAUCCCCCUUUUGUUGGUGAUCCCUACGAAAAUGAUACCGAAUGGCUAUGUGUUUAGUGCGGCUAUGCUCAACGGGAUUAUCCGCCAUGCGGAUUGCACUCUCAUUAUCACAUAGAAGAGGAACUUUGGUUAGUUUGUAACUGUAGUCCCGCAGGGUUUGCCUCAUCCAAAGCAAUUGCGCGCAACAAUGGCCUGCGGCAAUGUACUCGGCUUCGGCGGUAGAAAGAGCGACCGAAUUUUGCUUCUUUGAAGCCCAAGACACCAAGGAUCUUCCCAAGAAUUGGCAAGUCCCCGAUGUGCUCUUCCUAUUAAUCUUACACCCUGCCCAAUCGGCAUCCGAAUAACCAAUCAAAUCAAAUGUGGAUCCCCGAGGGUACCAAAGCCCAAACUUAGGUGUGUAAGCCAAAUAUCUCAAGAUUCGUUUUACGGCCGUAAGGUGGGAUUCCUUAGGGUCGGAUUGGAAUCUUGCACACAUGCAAACUGAAAGCAUAAUGUCCGGUCGAGAUGCACAUAAAUAAAGUAAUGAACCAAUCAUCGACCGGUAUACCUUUUGAUCCACGGACUUACCUCCCGUGUCGAGGUCGAGAUGCCCAUUUGUUCCCAUGGGAGUCUUGAUGGGCUUGGCAUCCUUCAUUUCAAACUUGCUUAAAAUGUCUUGAGUAUACUUCAUUUCGCUAAUGAAAGUGCCCUCUUGGAGUUGCUUGACUUGAAAUCCUAGAAAAUACUUCAACUCCCCCAUCAUAGACAUCUCGAAUUUCUGUGUCAUGAUCCUACUAAAUUCUUCACAUGUAGAUUUGUUAGUAGACCCAAAUAUAAUAUCAUCAACAUAAAUUUGGCAUACAAACAAAUCAUUAUCAAGUGUUUUGGUGAAUAAAGUAGGAUCGGCUUUGCCGACUUUGAAGCCAUUUGCAAUAAGGAAAUCUCUAAGGCAUUCAUACCACGCUCUUGGGGCUUGCUUGAGCCCAUAAAGCGCCUUAGAGAGCCUAUAAACAUGGUUAGGGUACUCACUGUCUUCAAAGCCGGGAGGUUGCUCAACAUAGACCUCCUCCUUGAUCGGUCCAUUGAGGAAGGCACUCUUCACAUCCAUUUGAUAAAGCUUGAAGCCAUGGUAAGUAGCAUAGGCUAAUAAUAUGCGAAUUGACUCAAGCCUAGCUACGGGUGCAUAGGUUUCACCAAAAUCCAGACCUUCGACUUGUGAAUACCCCUUGGCCACGAGUCGAGCUUUGUUCCUUGUCACCACACCAUGCUCGUCUUGUUUGUUGCGGAAGACCCACUUGGUUCCUACAACAUUUUGGUUAGGACGUGAAACUAAAUGCCAUACCUCGUUCCUUAUGAAGUUGUUGAGCUCCUCUUGCAUCGCCACCACCCAAUCCGAAUCUUGUAGUGCUUCCUCUACCCUGUGUGGUUCAAUAGAGGAAACAAACGAGUAAUGUUCACAAAAAUGAGCAACACGAGAUCUAGUGGUUACCCCCUUAUGAAUGUCGCCGAGGAUGGUGUCGACGGGGUGAUCUCGUUGGAUUGCUUGGUGGACUCUUGGGUGUGGCGGCCUUGGUUGUUCAUCCACCUUGUCUUGAUCAUUUGCCUCUCCCCCUUGAUCGUUGCCAUCAUCUUGAGGUGGCUCAUCUCUUGGAUCUUUUCCUUCAUUAACUUGAGCCUUGUCCUCAUUUUGGGUUGUCGGAGAUGCUUGCGUGGAAGAGGAUGGUUGAUCUUGUGCAUGUGGAGGCUCUUUGGAUUCCUUAGGACACACAUCCCCAAUGGACAUGUCCUUAGCGCUAUGCAUGGAGCCUGUUCUUCACCUAUCUCAUCAAGAUCAACUUGCUCUACUUGAGAGCCGUUAGUCUCAUCAAACACAACGUCACAAGAAACUUCAACAAGUCCUGAGGACUUGUUAAAGACUCUAUAUGCCCUUGUGUUUGAGUCAUACCCUAGCAAAAAGCCUUCUACAGUUUUAGGAGCAAAUUUAGAUUUUCUACCUCUUUUAACAAGAAUAAAGCAUUUGCUACCAAAAACUCUAAAAUAUGAAAUAUUUGGCUUUUUACCGGUUAGGAGUUCAUAGGAUGUCUUCUUGAGGAUUCGGUGAAGAUAUAACCGGUUGAUGGCGUAGCAAGCGGUGUUGACCGCCUCGGCCCAAAACCGAUCCGGUGUCUUGUACUCAUCAAGCAUAGUUCUUGCCAUGUCCAAUAGAGUUCGAUUCUUCCUCUCCACUACACCAUUUUGUUGUGGAGUGUAGGGAGAAGAGAACUCAUGCUUGAUGCCCUCCUCCUCAAGGAAACCUUCGAUUUGAGAGUUCUUGAACUCCGUCCCAUUGUCGCUUCUAAUUUUCUUGAUCCUUAAGCCGAACUCAUUUUGAGCCCGUCUCAAGAAUCCCUUUAAGGUCUCUUGGGUAUGAGAUUUUUCGUGUAAAAAGAACACCCAAGUGAAGCGAGAAUAAUCAUCCACAAUAACUAGAUAGUACUUACUCCCGCCGAUGCUUAUGUAAGCGAUCGGGCCGAAUAGGUCCAUGUGUAGGAGCUCCAGUGGCCUGUCACUUGUCAUGAUGUUCUUGUGUGGAUGAUGAGUGCCAACUUGCUUCCCGGCUUGGCAUGUGCUACAAAUCCUGUCUUUCUCAAAAUGAACAUUUGUUAGUCCUAAAAUGUGUUCUCCCUUUAGAAGCUUACGAAGAUUCUUCAUUCCAACAUGGGCUAGUCGGCGGUGCCAGAGCCAACCCAAGUUAGUCUUAGCAAUUAAGCAAGUGUUGAGUUCAGCUCUGUCAAAAUUUACCAAGUAUAGCUGACCCUCUAACACUCCCUUAAAUGCUAUUGAAUCAUCACUUCUUCUAAAGACAGUGACACCUAUAUCAGUAAAUAGACAGUUGUAGCCCAUUUGACAUAGUUGUGAAACGGAAAGCAAAUUAUAAUCUAAAGAAUCUACAAGAAAAACAUUGGAAAUAGUAUUGUCAGGUGAUAUAGCAAUUUUACCCAAUCCUUUGACCAAACCUUGAUUUCCAUCCCCGAAUGUGAUAGCUCGUUGGGGAUCUUGGUUUUUCUCAUAAGAGGAGAACAUCUUCUUCUCCCCUGUCAUGUGGUUUGUGCACCCGCUAUCGAGUAUCCAACUCGAGCCCCCGGAUGCAUAAACCUACAAAACAAUUUUAGUUCUUGACUUUAGGUACCCAAACGGUUUUGGGUCCUUUGGCAUUAGAAACAAGAACUUUGGGUACCCAAACACAAGUCUUAGAGCCCUUGUGUUUGCCCCCAACAAUCUUGGCAACUACCUUGCCGGAUUUGUUAGUAAGCACAUAAGAAGCAUCAAAAGUUUUAAAUGAAUUAGCAUGAUUAUUUGAUGCAUUAGGAGUUUUCUUUCUAGGCAACUUGGCACGGGUUGGUUGCCUAGAGCUAGAUGUCUCACCCUUAUACAUAAAAGCAUGGUUAGGGCCAGAGUGAGACUUCCUAGAAUGAGUUCUCCUAAUUUUGUUCUCGGGAUAACCGGCAGGGUACAAAAUGUAACCCUCGUUAUCCUGAGGCAUGGGAGCCUUGCCCUUAACAAAGUUAGACAAGUUCUUAGGAGGGGCAUUAAGUUUGACAUUGUCUCCCCUUUGGAAGCCAAUGCCAUCCUUGAUGCCAGGGCGUCUCCCAUUAUAGAGCAUACUUCUAGCAAAUUUAAAUUUUUCAUUUUCUAAGUUAUGCUCGGCAAUUUUAGCAUCUAAUAAUGCUAUAUGAUCAUUUUGUUGUUUAAUUAAGACCAUGUGAUCAUGAAUAGCAUUAACAUCAAUAUCUCUACAUCUAGUACAAAUAGAAACAUGCUCAACAUUAGAUGUAGAGGGUUUGCAUGAAUUAAGUUCAAUGAUCUUAGCACGUAAGAUAUCAUUAUUAUCUCUAAGAUCGGAAAUUGUAACAUUGCAAACAUCUAGUUCUUUAGCCUUAGCAAUUAAAUUUUCAUUUUCUACUCUAAGGCUAGCAAGAGAAAUGUUUAAUUCUUCAAUCUUAGCAAGCAAAUCAUCAUUAUCAUUUCUAAGAUUGGGAAUUGAAACAUUACAAACAUGUGAGUCAACCUUAGAAUUUAAACUAGCAUUUUUAUUUCUAAGGUUGGUGAUAGUAUCAUGGCAAGUACUUAGCUCACUAGAUAAUUUCUCACAUUUUUCUACCUCUAGAGCAUAAGCAUUUUUAACCUUAACAUGUUUUUUAUUUUCAUUGAUUAGGAAGUCCUCUUGGGAGUCCAAGAGGUCAUCCUUUUCAUGGAUGGCACUAAUUAGCUCAUUUAGUUUUUCCUUUUGUUCCACGUUAAGGUUGGCAAAAAGAACGCGCAAGUUAUCCUCCUCAUUGCUAGUAUCAUCCUCAUCACUAGAGGUUUCAUAUUUAGUGGAGGAUCUUGAUUUUACCUUCUUCCUUUUGCCGUCCUUUGCCAUGAGGCACUUGUGGCCGACGUUGGGGAAGAGGAGUCCCUUGGUGACGGCGAUGUUGGCGGCGUCCUCGUCGUCAGAGGAGGAGUCGGUGGAGCUCUCGUCGGAGUUCCACUCACGGCACACGUGGGCAUCGCCGCCCUUCUUCUUGUGGUACCUCUUCUUUUCUCUCCUCUUGCCCUUCUUGUCGUUAUUCCUGUCACUGUCACUUGAUAAUGGACAUUUAGCGAUAAAGUUACCGGGCUUACCACACUUGUAGCAAACCUUCUUGGAACGGGAUUUGUAAUCCUUCCCCUUCCGUUGCUUGAGGAUUUGGCGAAAACUUUUGAUGAUUAAAGCCAUCUCCUCAUUGUUGAGCUUGGAGGCGUCAAUUGGUUGUCUACUCGGUGUAGACUCCUCCUUCUUCUCCUCCGUCGCCUUAAAUGCCACCGGUUGUGCUUCGGACGUGGAGGGUUCAUCAAGCUCGUUGAUCUUCUUGGAGCCCUUGAUCAUACAUUCAAAGCUCACAAAAUUCCCGAUCACUUCCUCGGGGGUCAUUAGUGGGUAUCUAGGAUUACCACAAAUUAAUUGAACUUGAGUGGGGUUAAGGAAAAUGAGAGAUCUUAGAAUAACCUUAACCACCUCGUGGCCGUCCCACUUCUUGCUCCCGAGGUUGCGCACUUGGUUCACCAAGGUUUUGAGCCGGUUGUACAUAUCUUGUGGCUCCUCCCCUUGGCGAAGACGGAAGCGACCGAGCUCCCCCUCGAUCGUUUCCCGCUUGGUGAUCUUGGUGAGUUCAUCACCAUCGUGCGCGGUCUUGAGUAGGUCCCAAAUCUCCUUUGCAUUCUUCAACCCUUGCACCUUGUUGUAUUCCUCCUUGCUUAGAGAGGCUAGGAGUAUGGUUGUAGCUUGAGAGUUGAAGUGCUCGAUUUGGGCCACUUCGUCCGUAUCAUAAUCUUCAUCCCCUACGGAUGGUACCUGUGCUCCAAACUCAACAACAUUCCAUAUACUUUUGUGGAGUGAGGUUAGAUGAAAUUUCAUUAAAUCACUCCACCUAGCAUAAUCUUCGCCAUCAAAGGUUGGCGGUUUGCCUAAUGGAACGGAAAGUAAUGGAGUAGGUCUAGAUGUACGAGGAUAGUGUAAGGGGAUCUUACUAAACUUCUUGCGCUCUUGGCGCUUAGAAGUUACGGACGGCGCAUCGGAGUCGGAGGUCGAUGUUGAUGAAGUGUCGGUCUCGUAGUAGACCACUUUCCUCAUCCUCUUGUGCUUGUCGCCUUUCCGAUGCGACUUGUGAGAAGAAGAUUUUUCCUUCUUCUCUUUGUGGUGAGAAGAGGAGGAUCUUUUCUCCUUCCGUUUGGAGGAGUCCUUCUUCUUCUCCUUCCUCUUGGUGCGGGACUCUUCCGAUGAAGUGCUCCCAUGGCUCGUAGUGGGCUUGUCGCUGGUCUCCAUCUCCCUCUUGGUGUGAUCUCCCGACAUCACUUCGAGCGGUUAGGCUCAAAUGAAGCACCGGGCUCUGAUACCAAUUGAAAGUCGCCUAGAGGGGGGUGAAUAGGGUGAAACUGAAAUUCUCAAGAAUAAUCACAACUACAAGCCGGGUUAGCGUUAGAAAUAUAAUAGAGUCCGUGAGAGAGGGUGCAAAACAAAUCGCAAGCGAAUAAUGACGUGAGACACGCGGAUUUGUUUUACCGAGGUUCGGUUCUUUUAAACCUACUCCCCGUUGAGGAGGCCACAAAGGCCGGGUCUCUUUCAACCCUUUCCCUCUCUCAAACGGUCCCUCGGACCGAGUGAGCUUUCUCUUCUCAAAUGCUUGGAACACAAAGUUCCCACAAGGAUCACCACAAGAUUGGUGUCUCUUGCCUCAAUUACAAGUGAGUUUGAUCGCAAUGAAGAUUGAAAGAAAGCACGAUUGCAAAAACCAAGCGACAAGAGCGACAAAUAACACACGGAUCACUUUCUCUCUCAAGUUACUAAUCACUAAUGAUCUCUUUUCUCAAUUGUGAAACUUGGAGAGAUGGAGGCUUUGAAUGUGUCUUGGAAUGGAUUGCUAGCUCUUGUAUUGAAUGUUGAAGGUUGGAAUGCUUGGAUGCAAUGAAUGGUGGGGUGGUUGGGGUAUUUAUAGCCCCAACCACCAAACUUGACCGUUGGUGGAGCUGUCUGUCGUAUGGUGCACCGGACAGUCCGGUGCACACCGGACAUGUCCGGUGCGACAGCCACGUCACCAAAUAGCCGUUGGGUCGACCGUUGGGGUUCUGACUUCUGGGCCCGCCUUGAUGUCCGGUGGCGCACCGGACAUGUACUGUAGAGUGUCCGGUGCGCCUGCUCCGCGUGCCUGACGACUGUGCGCUUCUGGCGCGCAUUAAAUGCGCCUGCAGGUGACCAUUGGCGCGAAGUAGCCGUUGCCCCGAGGAUGCACCGGACAGUCCGGUGCACACCGGACAUGUCCGGUGAAUUAUAGCGGAGCAGCCUUCGCGAAUUCCCGAGACUGGCGAGUUCCUGAGCCGCGUCUCAAAUGAGCACCGGACACUGUCCGGUGUACACCGGACAGUCCGGUGAAUUUUAGCGCGCUGACUCUGGAUUUUCCCGAGGGCGACGAGUUUGAGUUGAAGUCCUCUGGUGCACCGGACACUGUCCGGUGCGCCAGACCAGAGGAGCCUUCGGUUGCUCUUUUGCUCUUUUGUUGAACCCAACACUUGGUCUUUUUAUUGGCUAAGUGUGAACCUUUUGCACCUGUAUAACUUAUACACUAGAGCAAACUAGUUAGUCCAAUAUUUGUGUUGGGCAAUUCAACCACCAAAAUCAUUUAGGAGCUAGGUGUAAGCCUAAUUCCCUUUCAGGGUGCAAGCUGGUGUGGUUUGAGGUGUGAUAUUUGUGUUCCUCAAAUUGUUGUUUCGAACAUCAAAACAGAAAUCCUGUUGACAAAAAAUUGUGGUUCGUAUACUGCUAAAAAGUAAUAUGCAAACAAUGUACGUAUGAUGAGUAAAAAAAGGUAUUGGAGUUGGAUAUAUUACCUGUUGACCUGUAACGACAUCCGAUUCGUCGGGACAAGUCUCCAACACUCUACGGAUAUGCUGUUGUCUUUCAUGAAUUUCUUCAAACUGAGUACCACCCAGCUGGGUCUCGAGCUGCGAAGCUUGGGAUGGCAUAUCGGGUGUGGGUUGGGUGGCAUGAACAGUGUGUCCUUGUACACAAUUAUAUUAAAAAUAAUAUAUGUCAAAACUUGCAUUAUAGAUCAAAUGUUGCUGUGUAUACUUGAAAAAAACAAAUGAUGUUAACUGUACGUAUAAAAAAACUGUAUGCACAUGUAGACAGUUAAAGGUUCUGAAUAAAUGACAAGGGAUAAUUGUAUGACUGACCUGCUGAAUCAGCCGAAUUCCUCGGAUGUUGUGGCUCAUCUGUCUCGUUUUCUAAAUUAUCAGACUCGGCACAUAGUACCUCGUCGAUCAACUCUAUAAACUUGUCUGCUAUGUCGUAUUGCUUCUCAAUAAUUUUGUCAAUGCUAUCUUUUAUGGCUAUGCAUGACUUGUCAACCUCCAAGUCAUAUGCAGCAAGAAUGUCUGUGAAUUUAGAUCGAUGACAAGGUGGGAGAUCGUUGAUCUUACUUGACAUCAUCUCUUUGAUCGAUGGCAGUUGGAUGUUAAAAGUGGGCCGAGGCGUUGGGGCAGGGCGCGGUGCAUCAAAAAUGUUGGUCCUGCACUCCGGCUGGUUGUUCAACAAAAUUAAUAAGAAUCCAUGUCCACCUUCCUAUUCCAUUUGUUCCAUAAAUAUUCAUAAACUAUGUAUAUAAUACAUCAUAAACUUGCCUCGGAUUGGCGAUCGAUCUUAGGUCCAACUGAAUAGCAUGUCUCGGUCGAGCUUCGGAACUAAAAAUAAAAUUAAAGUGAAUGUGCGUAACUAACUGUGUAAAUGUGCGUAACCAACUGUGUAAAUAUGAAUAACUUACUUCACAAUGUCCGAAAGGUUCAGCCCCAUGGCGUACCUUCCUCUUGUCAGCUUUGGUCAAAGCUUUUAUGAUAUUCUUAUCAAAGAAUUUAAUGCGAGGUGUGCCAAUCUUAUUUUGAGGGGCAGCGGCUGCAUGCAGGUGAUCCAAGUAAUACAACUACAUAAACGAAUUACAAUGUUCAAUAGCUAUGUAAGUAAACAUAACCAACAUCAUAAAACAUGUUACAUAACUACCCACAGUGAGCAACCAAAAAUGCAAUAAAUGUACAUAAGGAAAAACACUAUACUUACAAGGAUAACAAUGGAGCAUCUGUAUAUAGUCGUGGAGACAUUUGUGGUGAUUCGGUUGUGCCACUUCUUCGCAGCUUCACAGAGAUCAUUAAAAAUCAACUGGCACCAGUCGGUCUCAUGGAAACGGUGCAUUUCUUCUGUUAGAAGCACCUCAUGAUAUGUUAUGCCCCAGCUAGCAGUUGGAAACAACAGACGGUUGAAUAAAAUGAGGAAGAAACAUCUGAUUGUAAGGUCAUCAUCCUUGCCUUUCCUUAAACGAUCUUGUAGAAAUGUCACAUUGAACUCGUCUUUAGCCAAACCAAGCUCUGCCCUCAAGUUGCUUGCUGCAACUGCUUCAUCAAUCCCUAAUGGUUUACCACCGCCAUGAUUUGGUACACCAAGGACAAGAUGAACAAUGUCCUUUGUGAUCUUUAGUUCCUUUCCUGGACGAGGACAAAUUGUCAUGUCCUUGGGGUCCAGCUUGUCCAUCAACCAUUGAAGGUGUGAUCUACUACACAGCGCAUCUACUGUCAUAUCAAGAAUGUUAGAGAAACCUUUACGUCUUAUAGCCUCACGUUGUCUUUUAUUCAAAAUGUUAAUGCUUGCAAUGACAUCUUGAGGGUUGCACCUCACAUUGAGCCUCUGUUACACAAUAUAAAACAUGAAAUAAUUUUGUUAUUAUCAAAAAAAAUAUUCAGAACCUUACAAAUAUGAAAUUGUUUGUUGGGUAUGCAUAACACUAACCUGUCGGGGUAGCUCCUCAUGUUUAAUCCUCUUUGUCACAACUUUUCUUAAAACUCUUGUAUGGCUUUCAGAAACAUUACGCUUCUUCAGAGCUGGCAUGAAGUCAUCUUCAUCAGAAUCAAGUUGUACUGUUUCAUUGAUCAAAUUUUGACUGUCAACAUUUGGAGGAUUUCCAACUUCUGGACAUGGAUUAGACUGUUCUGCGGACGGAAUGUCAACACUGAAACACUCCUGGCUUGACUGAAUUGUUAUACGUUUGGGGUUAUUUGGAGGACGGUCCACGUGCUUCAUUUUUUUAAAUUAAAAGCUGCAUACAUAAUACACAAUAUUGUAAAAAUUAGACUGUUGGAUAUGCAUAUGUAUUUAUUGUGUGGUAUGAUUGAAUCAAUGAACCUAGUUGUUUUAAAUACCAAGCAUAAAAGCACUCUGUAUAAAUUUUGCAUGGCAAUAAUAAUGUCUCAAUAACAUCUGAAUAUAUUGUUCUCUAUUUACAUUUGCAUACAUAUACUGACCUGUUCAAUCAUAAGGAAAAACUGAAUAUGUUUCAAUAAAAACAGACCUUGUUGUAACCAAUAAUGUAUUAGCUAUAAUCAUCUGAAAUACAUAAAUGUAUGCACUAAACAUAUAUGAAAUUUUAUAUAAAUAAUAUACUCUAUGAAAAACAACUAGAUGACUGCUCAUUUACUAAACACAGUUGCAUACAUGUUCUGACCUGAUCUACAAUCAUAAAAAUUUGAAUAUGUUGCAUAAAGUUGCAUACAGUUGCAUACAUGAAACACAAUUGCAUACAUGUUCUGUCCUGUUCUACAGUCAUAAAAAACUGAAUAUGUUGCAUACAGUUGCAUACAUGAAACUCAUUUUGCAUAAAGUUGCAUACAUGAAAAAACACAGCUGCAUACAGAUACAUACAUGAAAAACAACUAGUUGCAUACAUGUUCUGGCCUGUUAUACAAUCAUAAAAAUCUCAAUAUGUUUCAAAAAAACCAAGCUUGUAGUAAAACAUUAAUGUAUUAACUAUAGACUAAUGAAUACAUAAAUGAUUGCAUAUCACUAACCAGAUAAUAAAUUCUGAAUAAAAAAUAUACUCUACCAAAAACAACUAAUUGACUUCUUCUUUACAACAAUCAAUUGCAUACAUGUUCUGCCCUAUUUUAUAAUCAUAAGAAACUAAAUAUGUUUGAGCAAAACAAAACUUGCUAUAAACAAGUUGUAUUAACUGUGAACUAGUGUAAUAAAUAAUGUCUGUUUUAUAAUAAUAAAAAACUGGAUAUGAUUCAAUAAAACAAUACAUGUGCGCGAGCAUACAUGUUCUGCCCUAUUUUAUAAUCAUAAAUAAUGUAUUAACUAUAAAAUAAUGGAAUAAAUAAAUGUAUGCAGUCACAAAAACAACUAGCUGACCACUCAAUUACCAAUUGAACAUCAUCUAUUGAAAAAAAAACUUUAACUGAUAUGCAUAAACAUGUAUUCUAAUGAGCGUAACCAACUGUGAAAAUGUGUGUAACCAACUGUGUAAAUGUGCGUAAAUGUAAUAAAUCAACUGCAUAAAUAUUUUUCACCCUCGUCGUAAUCCACACAAUACAGUAUGAACAAAAAACAACACAUUUAUUGACAGUUGCAGUCGAUCCAAUGAAAUGUGCGCGAGCUAGGGUUGGGAAGAACACACCGUAGAUGGUUGCGGAAGGGCUACCAGUUGGAGCGGUACCCGUUGACGGCGGCGAAUGUGGAAGAUGGUGGAGAACGUGGAAGCAGUCGGGUCGGCAGAGAGCGAGAAAGGAGACGCGUCGGCGGAGAAACUGAGGUUUUCUCCGGUCUGGACUCCCGUCUCCUGACGCAGCGGCGGGAAUAUUGGAGCGCGGAUUGGGGACACCGGGGAGGCGCCGCUCAACUGCCGAUUGCGACUGGAUCGACAACGAGCGGCGAGGGGAGCGGAGUCGUCGGGGAUGGUUGAGUCGACGGAGAUUCCCGGAGUCGCGGCGAGGUUGGGGUUUUGCGGUUAUGGAAACUGAGACCGGGAGAAAAUGAGCUAAUGGCGGAGCACGUCAGUAUAUAUAUGGAAACUGAAAAGUCAGUCGGCUGUAAAUGCACGUGCGUUCAUAUUUGGCUGGGGCUUCCUUAAGCUAAAUAGAACCCAGGGCUCUAAAUACAUAUAGUAUAUAUCUCUACUACUUAUUAAGUAAGCAAUAGUAGUCUGCCUCUACGUGUUCUGCCUCUGACAUGUUCUGCCGUUCUGCUAUCUACGUGCGCCCCCUCGACAGGGCCAGCAAAAAAUUUCACAUACUCACGAGUUGAAUAUGAACAGUUCAGCCACUAAACACACAACAGCAGAGUUCUUAUUGUUGGGUCCGAGCCAACGCUUAUAAGCGGCUCUAUGUCUCCUUUACUAGCCAGUAUGGUACUAAUUUCUUUGCAAGACACAACAACACAGCAGUACAAGCGUUCUGGGCUGAAUUUUUAGUGCGGCCCAUACGUUUCGGGCGGCCCAUACUCCAGCGGCCGCAGCAGUCUUCUUCGGCAACCUCCGUCCGCACGCCCAACCCUCGGUCAGCUCCACUACCGCAGCCUCCAUCUCCAUGACCUCCACUUCUUUGACCAUUCCUGCACUUUGCCGACGUCCGCAAGCUCCCCUUCGUCCUUCCUGCAUCGGGAGCCGGAGGACCUCGCCUACUCCCUCCCUCCAUCGGCGCGGCGGCUGUCUCGGCCGAGCCUGAGUCGCGCGGAGGUCGUGCCCCCGCCGCGCCACCACUUCGUCCCACCUUCGGCUUCGGGACACCCCCUCGCCGCCUCCUCGACCCCCACAGUCGCGGCACGCGCCGCUAUCGUCGCACGAGGCCACAUCGCCGCUACGCCACCACUCCCUCCCCUAGCCGCCUCCUCGACACUCGCAGCCACGGCGCGUGUCGUCGUCAUCGCACGAGGCCGGGGCCCCACCGCGCGACCACUCCCUCCCCGACGAGAAGAGCGGUCUUGGCGCAGCGACGACGAGGGGUGCGCGGGAGGAGAUCGCCGCCCAUGGCCACGGCCACCUCAGGGCGUGGACGAAGAACCCGUUCGCCCAGACCAGAAUGAACACCAGGUGCGUCGCCUCUCACGGUGGCAACAGCCGCGCCGCUGCCGCUGAAGGGCGGUGCAAGGAACCCCGUCCAGGGCGUUUGCUGUGUCAUUGGGUAAAUCGUAGCGUACAGUGGAAGCAGUGGAUCGGCUCAAUCUGAACUCACCGUUCGCUUGCUUGCGCCUUGUAUGGCAACCAAGUUUAAGGAACAUGUCCGAUCUGUGCUUCGUAGUUUCUCAAUCUGCAGUCGAUUAAAAUUUCAGAGGAGAAUUAGGAUGCCCCAUCGUUGGUCAAGCGAUGGGAGGCGCUGCAGAUUCUGAUAUAGAACAUUGUGGUUCUAUUUGUUAGUCAACCAUCAAUUACUGUUCAUGAAUCAUGAAGGAUUCAUGCACGCGAAAGUAGAUUGGUCAGUGCUCACAGCUCAUUGGAAGAAUAGGCAGUAUUUUUUUGUAAGGUUGGCAACUUGGCAUUAUUGAAGGCAUUUGUGUUUGGUUAGAGUUGCUCGGUUGGGCACAUUUCACUUCAGUUAUGCUACGCCUUGACUAUCUUUCUAAAAGACCAAACCUUCCCCUUUUGCAGGUUACUAAUGCUCUAGCUCAAGCAGGACUUGAAUCAUCAAAUCUUAUUGUUGGCAUUGAUUUCACAAAGAGCAACGAGUGGACAGGUUUGUUUGUUUGUUUCUGUUGCCUCGCUUCCUCCUGUUGCUUAUGAUUUCUUUUCUUCUACCAGGCAAAUUUUCAGUUGUUAACUUGUCAUAAAAUUUUGAAAAUUAUGUGCUGAUGUUUUGAUAGAUAGCUGCGAUCUGUAUUCUUGGGGUUCAAAUGAAAAUGGCUGCCUUGGUCUGGGGUAUUUUAUCAGUGACUGCGGGAGGGCCUUUUAAACAUCCAUUUUUAUUUUAUCCGUAAUUGCGGGCCUGCAGCUGCCAUAUACACAAAGGAGAGCCUUUUAAACAAUGUCUUGGCUGCUAUUCCUCCAAAUCUUACAAGUGAGGAGUGGUCAGCUGCAUUGCCAAGGGCAAGGGCAUUAGUUGUUGGUUUCGUGAAAACAGAUAAAGACUUCCAAACAAAAGGUAUGAUUUGUGAAAAUAGAUAAAUACUUACAAACAAAAGGCAUUAGUUGUUUGGUUGAUACAUGAGAGUACAAUACUAAAUUGUGAAGCUUUGUUUUUCCAUAUGCAUUGUUCUAGCAAAUCAGGAAUUAAAAACGAUCUUUAUAGUCUCAGUAAAUGUGUCGGUUCUUGUUUUUUUGGUUUGGAUCAUGAUCCAUUUUUUCUAAAGCCUCGUAUGUUCAGUUCAUCCCUGCUAUUAUUCUUUGUAUUCAACUACUAGGUUCAUCAGUUGGAUGGUGCAAACCAGAGCCCCAGCUACUGCAGUGCCCCUGAAGAUUUCAUCGUCGACAAUUGCAAGAACAUCUACUUUGCUGGGCACGAAACUACAGCGGUCACUGCCACCUGGUGCCUGAUGCUCCUUGCUGCACACCCAGACUGGCAGGAUCGUGCUCGGGCUGAGGUCCUAGAAGUGUGUCGUGGACAGACAGCGAUGGACAUCGACGUCCUUCGUCAGCUGAAAAUAGUAAGAGACUCUCUCCUGGUUCGUGUGGCUACAAACAAAUCAUUCUUUUGGUGACGCACACUAACUAACAGUGGCAUUAAAAAAAUCUUUUGAAGCUUACAAUGGUGAUACAAGAGACUCUCCGGCUGUACCCUUCGGGGUCACUGAUCAUGCGUGAGGCCCUGACAGGCAUCAGUCUUGGUGGAGUCGACGUCCCUCGCGGCACCAUCAUCCAAGUAGCCAUCUCAGUGCUGCACCUGGACAUGGAAGCCUGGGGUCCAGACGCUAACGAGUUUCGUCCAGACCGGUUAGCGAACGGAGCUGCCGCGGCGUGCAAGCCAGCCCACAUGUACAUGUCGUUCGGGUACGGGCCGAGGCUGUGCACCGGGCAGAACCUGGCAAUGGCGAAGCUGAAGGUUGUUCUUGCGCGCCUGCUGAGCAAGUUCUCGUUCUCGGUGUCGCCUGGGUACCAGCACUCCCCGGUGUUUCGGUUGACCAUUGAGCCGGAGUCCGGCAUGCCUCUUGUGGUGACAAGGCUAGCAUGAUCCACCAAGCAUCGGAUUCGGUAUGUGUGGCUGUGCCUGGUGCUACCGCUUCCAUUUAUAAGUUUGUUAUUGUGACGGUCGAGAACUCAAUCACAUAUUUUCCUUCUAUAAUUUUCUGUGCUCCAUAGAGUUGAGUACAUUUGUUACUUUGUAUUUCUUAACUAUGCGGCACUUAUACAAGACCCAGCUUGCCAAUUCUCUGUAACUGAAAUUUACUCGCAUGGUUUAGUACUAGAUAAUCACAUCUUUAAAUGUGAAAAUGAUGGUAGCUACAUCCUGACAAUUACAGAGAAUAGGUUUCAUGAUCUGAGUACAUUUAUACAAUCCUCCUUUAUGAGUACAGAGAAUAGGUUUCAAUUACAGAGAAUAUUCCUUUAUGAUCUAAUUCCCAUGUUAGGCGGGUUAGUGUGAGGUGCACAUGGGUUAGCAUGCUUCUAAUGGUAAAUUUAUAAAAAAUCAUAAGCUAUGUAUAACUAGACUACCACUAAAUUUGUCAGGAAUGGUAAGCUGAAAACAUUUUUUAGGAGGGACUGGAUCACCAGAGUAAUUAGACAUUAGCACGUUCACAAGACAAAUGGAAACAUUUCCCCCCUGAAAGUUUCUACCUUCUUUUCAUAGGAUUAAAAUAAACAUGAUAUGGUAUAUACUAUAUAGAAGUCAAAAUAGAAGGAUUAUCAGUGAGUAUCAAAUCCAGAAGGUUACUUUCCACAAUACUAUUUGUUCUGUAAAGUUUUUUUCUUGCUUCUUUAUAGACUUGAUUGUUACUUUCCACAAUACUAUUUGUUCUGCAAUAUUAUGCAGCGAGAUGUUAACUGCGACUCAUGAUGUGAUCUUGUUCAUUUAUACUUCUUACUUUGAACUGCAGAUAUGGAGUUUGGGUUCUCCAGAUCCAAACUUCACACUUGAUGGGCAUCAAAAGGGUGUCAACUGUGUUGACUACUUCACUGGUGGUGAUAGGCCCUAUUUGAUUACUGGUUCUGAUGACUCCACCGCAAAGGUACAAUUUUGUACUCAGCUGUAUGUUUUGAGUGUUUGAUUAUUCUAUCCAGUCCUAAGGUGGUGUGCUUUAUGGCAAAAUAGGUCUGGGAUUACCAGACGAAGAGCUGUGUUCAGACACUUGAAGGGCAUACACAUAAUAUUUCUGAUGUUUGUUUCCAUCCUGAGCUCCCUAUAAUCAUUACUGGAUCUGAAGAUGGUACAGUUCGUAUAUGGCAUUCGACAACUUAUAGGUAACAUGUUUUUAUUUAUCUCUAUGUUUGCUUGUUUAUGUAAGCAGAGGUCUGUUCAAUUUUUCUUUACAAUUUGGCCAUUAUCAAUUCUCCAUCCUGAAACACAGAUCUACUGACUUCUUCAUAAACCUUGACCCUAAACAACUAUCUUGUUUCUCGUACAAUUGGGCAUAGCUAAUUUCAAUGUAAAGGCUUAUGGGAAUGACAUUGGUAUUUAACUUUCUUAUGGUUCAAAGUUAAAACACACGACAACUUAUAAUUCCAUGGUGUGCUAACUUGAAUAUAUGAGCUUAUCUGCCAUGUCCUUGAAUGAAAUAUUCUUUGUUUUACCUUUUAUGAUUAAUACCUUUUUAUUAUUUCCUAUGAUAUCAUGCAAUUUCUCACCAAACCCUAUCUGCGCGUUAUAUUUUUCCUAUUUGCAUGUGUGUCAUGACCUGUCUUACAUACACAAUUACAUUCCGUGUGUACACUGUGUAGUGACACGUAGGGUGUGAAACAAAAGGACAGCGAUUAGUCUAACUAUUUUGCUUAUCAAAAUCACAAAUACUACUACAUCCAUUCCGAAUUAUAAUACAUUUUGCCUUUUCUAGAAACAUAGCUUUUACUAUGCACUUAGAUACACACUAUGUCUAGAUACACAUCUUAUAAUCUAUACUACUUAUUAAGGCUCUAAGGGUAGCCUGCCUUUUCUCGUUCUGCCUUCCAAUGAUCUCAACCGUCCAUCCAUGACUCUGUUUCAUCGUCCGUCGGAUGCAACGCCCGCAGCAACCAACGCCGAAACACGCCCACGCCUCGCGCGAGCACCGGCUCCCCCGAUCCAUCCCUCCUCCCCACGCCCCUCUCUCACCUAACUGCCCCGCUCCGAUCCUGUCGACGGCGGCGGCCACCUGUUCGAACCGCGCGCUCCUGCUGCCGCCGCCCCUCGCUGCGGCGGCGACCUUGGCAUCGGCCGCGGGGCGCGGCGGCGGCGGGUACACGUCCGGGGCGCCGACGACGCCGAGGUGGAAGCGAAACAGGCCCCACUCCGCCGCGGCGGGAUGCGCGGACCCGGUGCUGCGGCGCGGGCGCGCCGAGCGCAGCCGCGGCGACGGGCUCGGGUGCGCGUAGAACAGGCUGCUCGACAGCGAGCGCCGCGGCGGAGGCGCCCCUGCGCCGUGGUCGGAGGAGGCGCUCUUGGACGACUGGCUCCGGCUCACGCACCCGCUGCUGCUGCCGCUUGAGCUCGAGCUCGCGCUGCGGCUGCCGGACCGUGACACUAGGCCCACGGUGGAGGCCACUGACUCCGACCUCGGCAGCGUGGCGAGUCACUGCCUCCGUCUUCCGCCCACAACUCCAGUCGGGCCCCCCUCCCUCUCCCCGUUGAGGCCCCUUCCGAUCUGGAGUCGUGCCCGCCGGCCCGGCCCAGCUCCACCCUCCCGGCCCCUCCGGCCGCCGCGGGAGAUGGCGAGCGGCAGCAUCCCCCACCGCCGCCUCCUCAAGCGAGGACGAGGAGGAGGGACUCGAUAGCGGAAGGCCGAAUGGGCAGACAGCCGCGCCUUCGCUUCCACAGCUACAGGAGGAGGAGGAGGCGCCGGAGAAGCUGGCUCAUGUGAAGUACAACCUCCGUGACACUCCAGGAAUAUGUGAGUACACGACGGAGAAAUAGAAAUGUGCACGGGCGAUGUGUGCUAUGGGUAAUGAUGGGCGGUGCAUUGAUUUAAUUGGUUUUAAGCUGCGUUGCAGUUCCUCUGGUGGUAUACGGAUUCCAGCAUUAUAUUUCCAUGGUUGGUUCAAUGAUCCUGAUUCCUCUCGUGAUGGUCCCUGCUAUGGGUGGCUCGACUGUGAGUUCUGGAAUUGAAUUUGUUGUAUCUCGGGCACUAUUACUGAUUUAUUGGGUUUCUUACUGAAUACUAGGUUAUAUUUGGUCGUGUUUUGGUCAGGAUGACAUGGCGGCAGUGGUAUCCACAAUGUUGCUCGUCACCGGGGUGACUACAUUGCUGCACAUGUUUGUUGGAACGAGACUAUCCACUUGUGCAGGGUCCAUCCUUUGUAUACCUGGCUCCUGCCCUUGCGAUCAUCAACUCACAAGAAUUCUUUGGGAUCAAUGAUAAUGUAUGCACAAAUUUCUGUGUCUUAUGUUGUUGCAUGCCUAGAACAUGGCAAAUGUUUUAGUCAUGCAAGGCUUGUUUGUUUUCUACUAGCAGUCCUGACUGAGCUUAACAAUUUGCAUUUCAUUGCAGAUUUCUAAACACAUAAUGAAGCACCUGCAGGGAGCUAUAAUAAUUGGAGGUGCAUUCCAAGUGUUUUUGGGAUAUAGAGGCCUCAUGUCACUAUUUCUUAGGUCUACCUUUUUUUCUUUUGAUAAAAUAUAAACCUGUUUUCUUAUCCCUUUAUGUGCGCAAAUCAUUAUUGCAAAACAUGAUUGGAAAACAUGAUUGGCCUUUAAAAAAUGUUUUUGGUGCCAUACACACUUAGGAUAUAUAAGAUCUGACCUGAAGUUUUGUUCUGAUUUCUGAAUGCCAAAUAUCUGAAGUCUAUAACAACUUUUGCAUGGGCUUGAAACCAUCUAACAAGUAGGAGCAAUGCACAGACAUAUUGUUGUAUAUAUUGAUGGCUUAAAAGCUACAGGGAUCAUUGUUGUUAUGGGUUGGCCGCUUUGUGUUGGUUUCUAAGUGUAAUUGUGUAAACUGUUUGUCUACCAGACAUAAACAUCUUUUCAUGUUUCUGUAACUGAUGACUAGAAUUACUCAUGCACCUCAUCUUUUUGGUGUAUAAUUCACCAUAUGUUACAGUGACAAGUAGUAAUACUCAGGGUGAUAUGUAUCUUAUUUGUGUGAUUUGUCUUCAUCUGCUUAUUUCAGGUUGAUAAAUCCAGUGGCGAUGAGCUCCACCUGCUGCUGCUUAUAAGUUAUGGUGCUUGUGAGACCUGUCAUGGUUGCUUGCUUUGCUUUGCUUUGUUUAGAGAUGCUCUCGCCAUGGCUGCCAGUUGCACUGGUAUUCAGGCAACCUACAUUUGGUCCCUGCAAUAUAGUUGCUUCUUGAAAGCAGGUAGGUGGAGAUGGUCGAGAAAUUGAGACACAUGGUUCUGCUGUCCUGGGUAACUUCUGCGACAAGCGCAUUCGAUGGUACAAAAGACAUAAUGGAAGCUCUUAGAAACAAACAUACUAAUCUAGCCAAUGAGCUUGAGGUAAAUAUCAUAUUAUUAUGUUCUCUAAAAUCAUGUUAAGCUUUACUUUAUUUAUUUUGCUACAUUUUGCUUUGAUUUUCUUUUACGGUAUUUGGCUACGUGCUUGGUAAUACUGAUUUUGAAGGCUGAUUUGUUUGCCUGUCUAGAAAAACAUAACAGAUUUAAUGGAGGGCUUGGUAGAGCGUAUUCGUGCCUUGUCAUUUCAAAGCAUUGUGCGCUAGGAAAUUUCUUGGUUUGACUACGUCUCAAAUUCCAGGUACGAUAAAGACUUCUUAUUUCUUAUUGUUUAUUUUCUAAUACACAUAUACAGAUUUAAUGGAGGGCUUGGUACAAGGCUCUUAGUUGAUGCGCUAAAUGUCCGACGCUUAGCAGGAGAUAACCUGGCCCUUAUAAUGCAGUCCAUAGCUACACUAAUAACUAGAUUUGCCAUACGCUUAGCAGGAGAUAACCUGGCCCUUAUAAUGCAGUGAAUAGGUUGAACCUAUAGGUAUAUACAUCUGUGGUAGUUGACUGUAUCUCUUGUCAUCAGUAUUGUAAUUGUUUUAGGACAGUUUAGUGAAUAUGUUAGUAAGUGCAUCUUAUAAUAUGCAUAAGCAAAUAAGGUGAAGCUAUAUGUAUAUACCUAGAUAAAACGGUACAAUAUUUAUGAGCAAUAAAAUGUGAAAAAAUAGAGGAGUAGAAAACAUUGCCACGAGCAAUUUGAACAAAUGAAUUGGGAUGUGCUUUCUAAUUCCCCGAGUCAAAAGCUACAAUAGUAAGUAGGAGUAGAAAAGCAUGGGGUUAGUUGGUUAGGUCCUAAUCAGACAAACAGAUCUAUCAUUGAGGAAAAUACCCAAUUAGUAGUUUCAGAGAAUUCAUUCAUUCCAAAUGGGCUCCAACACUGCUAAUCAGAUUAAAAGUUUUUUCAUUGCAAUAGUAAACAUCGUAGUGAUUUGACAAAAAAGACGCAGCCUGUAUGCAGAGGUGUUAUAUCUGCACAACAUAUGAAUAUUUAUGGUUCCCAUGUGCACUCUAGGUUGUGCACUAGCUUUUAAGUUUGUUGCUAUAUUAAGUGGUCACAGAAGCAUGAUACUGAGGUGGCACUAGGUUGAAUUUCCUUGUUUGCUGGACUUGGAUGCCAUUCAAGCUACCAAACUGAACGAGUACCAUGCUGGUAAUGGAAGAGUACCAUACUAAAGUAGUUUGCAUGCAUAAACAGAAUUCUGAAGAAGUACCAUUUCCAGGUCACUUGACAUCCAAGAGCGAUGUGUGCAGCUUUAGGGUGGUGCUGCUGGAGCUCAUGAUAGGCAGACGGUCAAUGGACAAGAGCCGAUCAGCAGGGUAAGACAAGUAUUAUUUAUGUACUUUAUGACUCAUGCGCUGUACUCUUACUUCAGCUGAGGCUUUGUUAUCACUUUCAGUGUGUAUGUGUGUGCGUGCAGGGGGAAGUAGGUGUAGGGUAUUUUGUGGUGUAAAAUAUGUUCAAUGAAAAACAUCUGUAGUGUUAAAUGAGAAACGGUUUAUAAUACGGAACUAGCUGGCUAAUGCUUAGUGCAAAUGGGGCAAGUUCCAUGGGUUAGAAAAUUCUGUGAGUGAAGCUGAUUUAAUUUGAAAUGUGAAUACAUUGUCAGCAAAAUUCUGUGAGUGAAGCUUGUGUGACAUAGGAGAGUUCAAGAUUAAUGUUUAGUGCAACCAUGCUACUCUAUCUGGACACAGGUAAGGUUUUUUUGCUUGCCUAAAUUGAGUUGAAUAAUAGCUUAAAGAACUGCAUGUUAAACUUGCAGCUGCCAUCAUGAAUUGGAGACCACGGAUUAAUGGGCUGCUUGGAAAUAUCAAUGCAAACACUGGUGAUCCUCAAGUUGGUAUGUGUCACUGUUGUAUAUAACUCCUUUGUUUUUUAAUAAGCGUAUGACCCGAUAUUAUUUGUGUUACACUAGAAACAUACAUGCAUUUCUUUAUUCUUUUAUAGAGAAAGGAAAAAAUAAAAAAUGAGGCAUGCAUAGUAACUUGCCUUACCGAUAUGGACAGGUUGGGACAUAGAUCAGUUCAUGACAGACAUUGCAGAGGCUACUUUGGUUAUGUCAAGUGUAGUUAAGAAUGUGAGUGGCAUGAACCAGCUCUCCCUUUUUACUCAAAUCCACAGUUUGCCUAUGUACUUCCUGGUUGCACUCAUAUAAGCUGCUGCAUUUUUGUUUAACAGGGUGGACUUGCACCUGGUGGUUUCAACUUUGAUGCCAAAUUGUCAGUACCUUUUGUCAUAUUCUGGUGUGUUUUCACUGAUAUACUCUGGUGUGUGUGUACACUACAUGUACAGUGGUAGUAGAUAUCUGAGGGUUGAAAGGUGCAGGGUGACGGCCACCUCAAAUAAGAAAAGGUGGUAGAGUUCCAAACUGACCCCAAGAAGUUCGAAGGCUGCCUCUCGGCUUAUGUUGGUAAUCUCUUAUGGAACGUCAUUGAAAAUGACUUGCGAGAUUUCUUCAGCUCAUCGAAGAUUGCAUUAGUAAGGUUCGUCAUUGACAAAAGAACUGGGGGUUCCCAUGGCUUUUGUCAUGUUGAUUUUCAAGACGAUGAGGCGCUCGAGAUAGCUAUUGUGUUGGAUCAGUCCAAACUGGAGGGUAAGCCUAUCAAAGUCACGUAUUCAGUCAGCAACUGGGGCUGAAGAGCGAAGAGUGUCCCAUUGCCAGUGGUUAGUACCAGUGAACUUGUGUUGUAUGGUUUUCGCUCCUUCAGUUUUGGUUAAGCUACCAGUUAGCUUGUAGUGAAAUGGUUUUACUGCCUCAGUUUUGGUUGAGCUUUUCGCCACUUGAAACAAGAUUUUUUAAUCAAUUCCAUGAUGCCAAUUCUUACACCAAACAUAUGGCAUAUGUAACCCCUCUAUAAUGAGAUUGAGUUUCAUUAAACUUGUAUACCAUCUCAUGGUUUUGUCCUUGGAAUGAAUGUUUUCGUCAGGUGCGGUACUUCUUUGCAGAAUUGCAGUGCAGGACAUGUGAGGCCCCAUGUGGUGGAAGCCUGGGUCGGUUCCGGCUCCGUCUCCAACAUACAUUGUAGCUGUGAGCUAUUUUACCUCUCCUCUUGAAAUGAUCAUGAGCACAUGAAACUAUUGUACGCUAUUUUACUUCGAGAAAAGCUCCCAUCCCAGGGCGGUCUCUGUGGCAUCACCAUGAAGAACUCCCAUCUGUGUCCGCGCCACGCUAUCCAAGGAAGGCGAUUCAGACGCCCCGGAUCGACGCUCUCCAGGGAACAGUAAGUCAGCCUAACCACUCUCUGUCAACCCCACAAUCCAAUCCAUCGGGAACUACGAGAAGGUCAGCCAAAUUCUAUAAAAAAAGUCGUCUACUGAGUUUUGGCAGCAUUCAUGAGUAGCCAUAUAAUGUGGAGUUACGACGUCAAUGAGCCCUGCCUGGACAUCCAUGCAACAUAGAGGUUACCCUGGAGGUAUGCAAGCCAUGCUUUGCAUUUAUUUUCACCACUCGGCUGCAAGAUUUUAAGAGAAUGUAUAUGAAGUUAACAGUGCGUCGAUUACGAUUUAUUAGAGGUCUACACCAAUCCAUUGGUGUGCAGUCUGUCCUAUUUUGUUUUCUGUUUGUUCUUUGAUCCUUAUCACACUUAGGGACUUUGUAGACUCUGGAAUUUUAGUCACUAAGGUAUACAGAAAGACUCUAAAAUUUAUUUUUUCUGCACACAAUCCAGAAAAUGUUUUUUGUGUGUUUCUCAUUUUCAUUUGGUUAAGUACAUUUAUGUUUCUCUAAUCUAAAAUGGAACUAUGAGGCGGCAUGUGGAACUACAAAUUCAUGUGUUGGUAAUUAAAUAACUAGCAGAUAGAAGAACACUAGGAGUCUGGUAUAGAGUCCAAAUCAUUGACGAAAAAGAAACUAUUUACUAUAACCUUCAUAGAGUUGUAAAAACAUAUGUUUGGCACUUACAAUUUCAACAUUUAUUUUUGCUAACUUGUUUGCCUAAAUUCUAAUGUUUGACGCUGGUACUAUAUAGAUCAGGUUGCAGAAUAAGACUUGAAGCAUAAUUUGUGGGAGCAUGGUUGGUUUUACUUAUAUUGAAUAAACUUUUAGUGGCUUCCAUGCUAUAUAUUAUGCAUCUUUUAAAUGUUGCAGGAACCUCUCUUCUGUUUAGUAGUCGAGUUUUAGUCUGGCAGUCCCAUUUUACUAGAGAAAUUAAGUUAAUUGUGUGUUUAGGUAAUCUACAUGAACAUCUAAUCAUGAAAUCGACUAUGGGUUGUUUGGGAAUGCCUCUGGUCUGGUGUUUAGACGUGGUUGUGCGGAUUGUCUACACUAACAUUGUAAUCGUCUCCACUAAUCUUCAAUUUCUGACUUUUUGUGUUUUAGGCUUUCCUCUUCUUGGACCUACUGAAGCAGGUAAAGGUGUUUUUUCUAGAACAACUUUUGAUCUUCCCAUCAGUGAGGUCAGUCGUCCUCUACAAAUUUUAGUUUCUAUAGCGUACUCUAUUCUUCUGUACGACAUAUAUGUUCCAGACUGGGAGUACCAGAUAGCAGGCCCUGGUUCCAGUUCCAUAGAGAAGUCGUUCUCUGUAAGUGCAAAUUGUCGCUGCAUUCUUCUUUACUUAUCUCCUCACAAGUUCAGUACACAAGACAGAAGAAGCGCUAACGUUCACGCUGCAUUCGGAUAUGUUAGGUGAAAUGCAGAGUGAGAGGAGACACCGGACCAGCUUGCAACGCUAUUAGAAUGGUCGACCAUACGAUCCUAGGGAUCGACCACCUCUAUAGACGGUCAGUUUAUGCGUGCACGAAGGUUUGAUAUGGGAUGCGAUGCGACACGGACAUCUCAGUUUUCUGCUCCCCUGUCACAAAGCUCAAAUAAGAAACUACAGCAGGGAUGCAAUAUAGAUUAUCCAGAGAAUGGGUCUCUUCCACCUGACGCUCCAUCGUGGUGCCAGGCGCCAUUUGAUCCUGAAGGCCUCCUCAGGUCAGUGAUUCACUAGCUCCUUUUGGUCGCUGCCCAUAAGCCUUUCUUGCAAUGCAAGUUCAUAUCCAAUCGAGUGUUAGUUCUUACUGUCACUUGCUCGUGUUUCAGCUCCGUUAUGGCGAUUGUCACUUGCUUGACCGGGCUCCAGUUUGGGCAUGUAAUUAUACAUUUCGAGGUAUAAUGAAUGCUGGUCUGUGAUACUAAGGUUGAUAAAUUGUUCCUUUUUAGCUGUGUAAAACAUUCUUACAUUCCCCUCCCCGUGCUAAAUUUUACCUGCAGAGCAUCGAGGAAGAAUCACCAGUUGGUUGGUCCCUUCCUUCAGCAUGAGCUACACUCUGGCUACUGCAGAGCACCGUGCUAAAUUUUGUUCUAGCCUUCGUAAUGGACUUCGUCGGUAAGUAUUCACCAAACGCUGAUCAACCACACGCUUGCUUACUCCUAAUCCUGAGCGCUUGAGAUGAGAUGAACUUACUGAACAAUUUUUUUUUCAUGUUCCUUUUUUCAGGAAUGCGAAUGAAUAAACCACUAUACACGAUGAGCUACACUCUGGCUACUGCUGGCGCUGUGGGUCUUCUCUUCGCUGGAAUCUAUGCUCUUGUUGGCCCCUCUUGAACCUGAGAACAUGCAUAUGAAGUUUUGUUAUAGUUAUCUAACCAUUUUCUGAUUCUAUGUUCUCUCUACUGUUUGACAACAACACAUCUUUUAUAAAUUAAUUAUUAAACAAAACGAGGCGCAAGACUGGAUUGGUAAUUCAUAUAUUCUUUUGUGAUGCGAAUAUAUUCUGGUAAAGACAUGUUAUCGUGGAGGUGGUUCACAUCUGAUUCUAUUUUAAUUUUCUUCAUACCUUCUUAGCAAUUUUAUCUUUUUCUAUGAUUUUUAUUACAUAUAACAUAAUUGGCAAAACAAUAUUAUGUAUGAUUACCAUUUGCUAUCUCUUUCUACAAGUUAUGACCAUGUGGGGGAAUUUGUAAUAGUGAAACAACUAAAUUAAAAAAGCCCACAAAUAGAUUAUGAAACAUUUUCUCAUAACAAUAUAACACCCAUUUUGUAUAUAAGUUAUUAUGGUAUUAUAUGUUAAUGUUGCAACAAUGCACUGUCAAUAUUGUAUGAGUCUUUGAAUGUAGUAGAAAAGUCUUAGGCACAUUAUUUUAGUUAUUAUGAUAUGAACAACCCAUUUUAUAUAUGGAGCUCGUGGCAAUGGCAGCCCCGCAACACGACGAUGGAGCCCGUAGUGUGCCCAGGCUCAUGUUUCUCUGCAACAAUGCAUUGUUUCCCAUGAGGGCUCCCGUCACUAUUGCGUUCACGCUGUCUGUCGCUAGAACCUUGAGCAAUUGGAGGCUCGUUAAUUUGUGUUCCGUCGCAACGCACGGGCACAUACCUAUAUUGUAUAUGCUCGGACUUAGAGCUAAAGAUCCAGAAAUGAGGAAGCAAUUCUUCAAGCUUUACCAUGAUACAAUUUUGUAAACAUUCUUAAUCUUUAAAAGAUGCUAACAAGAGUAUAGAACAACAAUUAAUAUUUCUGCAUUUCAACGUAUCUUAUCAUAACAUUUUACUCCGUAGCAACGCACGGGCAUACACCUAGUAUAUAUAUAUAUAUAUAUAUAUAUAUAUAUAUAUAUAUAUAUAUAUAUAUAUAUAUAUAUAUAUAUAUAUAUAUAUAUAUAUAUAUAUAUAUAUAUAUAUAUAUAUAUAUAUAUAUAUAAUGCAUGUCCUGGAGAGGUAGCGCCAACUAUUGGCACGGUCACGGUGACGCAUCUGUUUGCUACGUCAUUCAAUUCGUACGUACGUGCAGUGGGAGCCCUCGUUGCAAGGACGUUUAAAAUUUCCUACCACGCGCGUGCUGUCCAGUCCAGUACGCCUUGCUUGGCACGUACUACUACCUGUAGGCUAUAGCUAGCUAGCCCUGAUUGCAAGUGAAGAGGCCAGCAACCCAGGCUUCAUCAUCGGCUACCAUAUGGAGCACGAACGUGCUGGAACGGAGAAAAUGUGCAUGUGUUUAUCGUGAUAUCGAUCUUUUUAAUUUCUAGCUUGUUGAUUUUGUCGAAUGAUUAACCGAUAGUAAUAGGAUUCAUCAUGGCAUUGAUACGAAUAAGGAGCAUGUACAACCCCCAUUUAAUAUGUGGUCUUUAAUUAGAAGGCUGAGUGAAAAAAAAUAUAUAAGAGCUGUGCUCUUCAUAAAGAGUAUGUCUCUUCAUGACUUAUCAUACAACUACAUUGAUGAUCUAGAGUUUCAGGGUUGUACCAUGCCAUCUCUUAGUCGUAACUUAUUCUUAAAAUAAAAACCGAACCGGUGCGUUAGAGUUGUACUUGUACAUGCCCUAAUAUCCAAACACCAAAUAAGGAAACGCCGUGCGAAAAGUUGUCAUGCGGCAGGUAGUAAAAGCCUCGUAUUGGAGUCAACACAAACGUUCAUGCUAUUAUAUCUUGUCCCUGUUUGGGUGCUGCACGUGUGCGUGCUUAAAGGGAAGGUGUUUUAUAGUGCAUGCGCAUUGCAUGGCCAGGGGAGGGGAAAAACAUGUACCCAUACUGUUGAUGGAGUCGUACAUGACCUUCCUUCAUGUACACGAAGCCACUGCCUUGCCUUGGCGAGGAAGGCAGUACCGGCAAGAGAAUGCCAUUAGCAGAAUUGUUUAAGCACACGAGAGAGAGAGAGAGAGAGAGAGAGAGAGAGACGGCUCAUUGCAUCAGAUCAAGAUCCAACCCCUGCUCACACAAACGCGCAUCGCAUCGGAUCCCCAGGCGGCGAGGAGCUCCACCACCACAUGGCACCACACCACACGCACGCCCUUGAUGGGUGCUGUCCUUGUCCCUGGCAGCAAAUCACUAAACAAUGCUGCCGUCCACGACGACUGAUGAGCACACACACGGUUAGUUUUGUUUUGCAUGCAUAUGACAGAAAGGUCAUUAGCAUUAGCAGACACCAAACAAAACAAGAGAGAGAGAGAGAGGAUGAAGACUGGCUGAUGUGAGUGAAGAAAGCUGCUGCCAUGGUUGGCUGGCUGGCUGAGAUGCACGCACCCACUCGUGCAACGCCUACUUUAUUUUAGAGACUGCUCUGAUCGUCGAUCCUCCUCCUAGUACCAUUACCUCCAUGAGACGAAAGAGAGAGAGAGGAGGACGAGACGUCUCCUGAAUCGAAGGGGAAACGAAAAGUAAAGAAAAGAAAAUACUACUGUAUGUGGUGGACGCUGAGCUGACCUGAGAUGAGAGUGAAGGGACGUGUGGAUGUGGAGUGGAACGUGCUUUUUUUUGCAGCAGCAGCGCCGCGCCGGGCGGGUAUGCAGGCUGGGUGCGGAAAUCAAGGCAUCCCCAUCCAACCAACCAGCCAGAGGUUUCAAGGGGCAGGAUUGGAUUGACGGAUCGUGCAUGGCCAGGCCACAUCGCACGUGGCCGCAAGCAGAGCAGAGGAGAGGUCAGGUCAGGUCGCAGGAGGAAGGAGGAGGAGGAGGAGCCGCCCUGGACGCUGGAGCAGCAGCAAUAGCCAUGGCCAAUGCAGCAUCCUCUCGUCGUCCUUGUCCUUGAGACGACAUCACUCUGCUUCUCCCAGUUACCUUACUCAUGUUCACGCCCGCCCCCAUUACCAUGGCCGUCGACCCGGUCCAUGCACUGCCUGCCCAAGCCCGUCGCAUACCUCCUCCACGGCUCCACGCCUCCACCCACCCGCCCCAGGGCCCAGGACAGAUCCAUCCAACGCAUCCAUGGACCGGGUCCAGGCCCACCACCGAGCGAAUCCUAAGACACGCACACGCACACCCACGAGGCACGCACGGCACGGCACGACACGAGCGCUAGCUUGACGCUUCCCACGCCAGCAGCGGAGGAUCCGGAGCUCGCCUCGCCUGUCGCCUCAUUUAAUCCGCACGCCCGCGCCCACCGCCCGCCCCCCUCCAGUCCCCCCACUGUGUCCGCGCCGCCUCAUUAAUUAACCUCGCUACCGCGCGCGGCGGCAUCCACCUCCCUCCCUCCGCUGCGGCCAGCCAGCCAUGAAGCCGCCGGCGGCGAGCCCGGGCCGCGCGGAGAAGCCGCAGCUGGCGGCGCCGGGCCUGGCGCGCCUGCUGCUCAGCAAGAGCCGCCGGGGCGCGCGGUCGCGCCGGGCGCCGCCGGCCACGUCGCCCAUGUUCGUGUCGCGCGGCGCGCGCACCCGCGCCGCCAACGACGGGGAGCCCUCGUCGCCCAAGGUCACCUGCAUUGGCCAGGUGCGGAUGCGCAAGGGGAAGAAGCCUGCGACUGCGACGGCGCCGGCGGUGGGGAAGGCGGCCGCGCGGGACAAGGGCGCCGCCAGGGGCGGCUACUACUACUACUGCCGCUGCCUCAAGAGGGCGUUCCUGUGCGGCGGGCUGUUCGCGUCCGACGCGCGGAAGCGGAGGCACGAGCCGCCGGCGGAGCGCGGGCGCCGCUCGCCCUGGGUGUUCAGCAGCCGGGACGUCGCUGUUGCUGCCGCGCCCAAGCCGCCCGCGGACCCGAGCAGCGGGCGCCGGGCCGAGGACGAGGUGCAGCUCGGCGUCGGGGACGUCGACUUGGGGUCGACCGGCCGGGACGGAGAACAGGAGGUGGGGAUCGGCGACGGCGACGGCGACCGGGACGCGCCGCUGGCCGUGUCGUCCGCCACCACUACGCCGCCCAAGAACGCGCUCCUGCUGAUGCGCUGCCGGUCCGCGCCGCAGAACCGCACGUCGCCACUCACCUCCCGGUUCCCCUCCACCGCCACGGCGCCAACGCCGGCGCCGGCCAGGGACGCCCUCGCCGCCGCGGCGUCCCCGUUAGCAUCCCCAUCCCCUUCGCCUUCUCCUUCUCCCCGGAAGGCGCCAGCUUCGGCGAACGAGGACGGCGUGGCAACGCAACAAACAGGAGCGGUGGCAGCGCCAGCGCGUGAGCCGCAGCUGGUAUUGAGCGGAGAAGGAGAAGAGGAGGAGGAGGAGGAAGUAGAAGUAGAAGACGACGACGAGUUCGAUGAGUACGACGAGGAAGAGGAAGAGGAGGACGAGACGGUGCGGUGCUCAUCGGCGCGGCCGCUGGUGCUGCAGCGGUGCAAGUCGGAGCCGGCGACGACCGCGGCCGCGAAGAUGGCGGCGGGACCCGCGACGAGCGCCGGGUGCUUCUGGGCCCACGGAGGGAGCGGCGGCCGGAGGAGGCACGCUCCGCCGCCGCCCGGCGCGGCGCCGGCGGCGGUGGCUUUGACCGGCCACUGAGACGCAGAGGCGAUGGGGGACUGUGGGUGGUGGUGGACUUGUGAUGGUGGCGGGCCCCGUUCUUUUGUUUUCUUAUGCUGUUGAAUCUGGAUUCCUUGGUAAGUUGUGUAGUAGUAAAUAUGUGCGCUCACUUAAAAAAAUCCUGUAAAUUUCUUCACUCUGGUUUAUUUUGUAGUAGUGCACUAGUACUCCUGUCUCCUACUAUCUGUUAGCAGUUCAUUAGUAACAAAAAUGUGUUAAUCUAUACACAUACACAUAUAAGGCGACUGCUCAAUCGCUUUCACGAAAGCUACGGCUCCAGUCUCAGCUCAGCUCGCUUUCAUGACAGUUACAUGUGGUCCGG
rnacentral:lncRNA from 1 species